GACGAACGCUGGCGGCGUGCUUAACACAUGCAAGUCGAACGAUGAUGCCCAGCUUGCUGGGGGGAUUAGUGUCGAACGGGUGAGUAACACGUGAGUAACCUGCCCCUGACUCCGGGAUAAGCGUUGGAAACGACGUCUAAUACUGGAUAUGAUUGCCGGCCGCAGGGUCUGGGUGUGGAAAGAUUUUUUGGUUGGGGAUGGACUCGCGGCCUAACAGCUUGUGGGUGAGGUAAUGUCUCACCAAGGCGACGACGGGUAGCCGGCCUGAGAGGGUGACCGGCCACACUGGGACUGAGACACAGCCCAGACUCCUACGGGAGGCAGCAGUGGGGAAUAUUGCACAAUGGGCGAAAGCCUGAUGCAGCAACGCCGCGUGAGGGAUGACGGCCUUCGGGUUGUAAACCUCUUUAGUAGGGAAGAAGCGAAAGUGACGGUACCUGCAGAAAAAGCACCGGCUAACUACGUGCCAGCAGCCGCCGUAA
rnacentral:rRNA from 1 species